CGUAUAGGGUGUGAUGCCUGCCCGGUGCCGGAAGGUUAAUUGAUGGGGUUAGCGAAAGCGAAGCUCUUGAUCGAAGCCCCGGUAAACGGCGGCCGUAACGAUAACGGUCCUAAGGUAGCGAAAUUCCUUGUCGGGUAAGUUCCGACCUGCACGAAUGGCAUAAUGAUGGCGGCGCUGUCUCCACCAGAGACUCAGUGAAAUCGAAAUCGCGGUGAAGAUGCCGUGUACCCGUGGCUAGACGGAAAGACCCCGUGAACCUUUACUGCAGCUUUGCACUGGACUUUGACCUUACUUGUGUAGGAUAGCUGGGAGGCUUUGAAGCGCGGACGCCAGUUCGCGUGGAGCCAAUCUUGAAAUACCAGCCUGGUAAUGUCGAGGUUCUAACCAAGGUCCGUCAUCCGGAUCUGGGACAGUGUAUGGUGGGUG
rnacentral:rRNA from 1 species